rnacentral:rRNA from 1 species
AUUGAACGCUGGCGGCAGGCCUAACACAUGCAAGUCGCACGAGUGGCGGACGGGUGAGUAAUGUCUGGGAAACUGCCUGUUGGCGGGGGAUAACUACUGGAAACGGUAGCUAAUACCGCCUUCCCUCAGAUGUGCCCAGAUGGGCUUAGCUUGUUGGUGGGGUAACGGCUCACUAAGGCGACGCCCCCUAGCGGGUGUGUGAGGCUGUCCAGCACCAGUGGAACGGAGACAGGGUCCGGCGUCCUAGGGGAGGAAGAGGUGGGAAAUAUUGGACAAGGGGCGAAAGCCGGAUGCAGCCAGGCCGCGGGUAUGUAGCGGGCCUUCGGGUUGUAAGGUACUUUUAUCGGGGAGGCGUUACCCGCAGAAGAAGCACCGGCUAACUCCGUGCCAGCAGCCGCGGUAAUAC